UACAGAGGGUGCAAGCGUUGUUCGGAAUCACUGGGCUUAAAGGGCGCGUAGGCGGGUUCCCAAGUCGGUGGUGAAAUCUUUCGGCCCAACCGGAAAACAGCCGCCGAUACUGGGAGUCUUGAGGGAGGUAGGGGUCGAUGGAACUUCCGGUGGAGCGGUGAAAUGCGUAGAUAUCGGAAGGAACGCCGGUGGCGAAAGCGAUCGACUGGACCUUUCUGACGCUGAGGCGCGAAAAGCCAGGGGAGCAAACGGG
rnacentral:rRNA from 1 species